rnacentral:rRNA from 1 species
CCGCGUGCAGGAAGACGGCUCUAUGGGUUGUAAACUGCUUUUAUAAGGGAAGAACGAUCUCGAUUUAUCGGGAUGUGACAGUACUUUAUGAAUAAGCACCGGCUACUCCGUGCCAGCAGCCGCGGUAAUACGGAGGGUGCAAGCGUGAUCCAUCAUCACUGGGUUUAAAGGGUGCGUAGGCGG